rnacentral:rRNA from 1 species
AUGGAGCAUAGUGGACUGGAGAGUAUGCAUGCUGGAAGAGAGAAAGCAACAAAUUUACCAUGCGCAAGUUUGGAGAACAUCAUGGAAGAUUCAUCUUAUGAGCGAAUAAAUAGCCAGGGUGUAUCUCGGCGUGUUUACAAGGUGAUUACAGGGUCCUGCGAGGCACUUGACGUCCAUCCACUCGAACUCCGCUUUCCUUUGGAUUACAACGCGUUAAUCCCGUUCCCGUGCCCGCUUCACCUAACAAAUAACACAGAUGAACAAGUGGCAUUUAAACUUAAGCCAAAGAGAGGGAUAUAUUCAUGCUUCCGUAAUAUUCCACUGUAUGGUGUUGUGCCGCAGCGGUCUACUUACACUCUCAUUGUGAUAAUGACACCGCCGGCUAAGCUGUCAGAAGAUACAGAUUUUGAUCUGAUCCUGCAGAGUAUUAAAUUUGGGGAGGGUAUCAUCCAAGGCCAAUGUAAUGACCGAUUUUUUGAGGCAGCCAAAGAGGUGGGCACUGUGAUGCAUGAGGUGACAUUAAAAGCUGUUUCUGCUCCACAAGGAGAGACAAUAUAUAAGCACACCAUCCCACCUGUAAUGAAGGUCAUAUCUGUAGAAAGAGCUCGUCAGGAGCUGUAUUCCAUAGAUGCAAAUCCAGAAAAGUCAUGGAUUAUAAUAGGUCAUUCCGGUGGAUAUGUCCGUAUAUGGGACUAUGUCACACAGAGAUGGAGGGGUCCAAUACAAAUCUCUAGGGGCCCACUUGACUGCAUUAAAUUUAUUGCUCGAAAGCAAUGGUUUGUGGCUGGGUCCUCUGAUGGUAUCCAUGUACAAGAGGAAGCAAUAAAAAAGAAGAAAAUCCAGAGAUUCAGAGCUCGUGUUAGCUCUGUCACAUCACUGGCCGUUCAUCCAACCAAGCCGUAUGUGCUUUCAUCAUCCUAUGGCGGACUGAUAAAGCUUUGGGACUGGGACAAGGGAUGGGAAUGCAUAACAACAUUUGAAGGGGAACACUCUGAUGUUGUAUGUCAACUCGCAUUUAAUCCAAAUGACACAAGCAGUUUCGCUAGUGUGUCGAACGAUCGCACAAUAAAGGUUUGGGGUCUUGAUUCACCCAAAUCCCAUUACACUCUGUCUGGCCAUUCAGAUAAUGUGAAAUGCCUUGAUUUCUUCACACGUGAUGAUGGGCAAUAUUUGAUUACUGGUUCUGUUGAUAAUACUGCCAAGAUAUGGGACUUGCAGAAAAAGACGUGCAUUCUUACACUGGAAGUUUUUAGGUCUCCAGUCAUUUAUGUCUUCUCCCAUCCCAAUCUUCCAGUUCUAAUUACAGGUACAAGAAAUGGCAUCAUUUAUUUGUGGAGCUCCACCGAUUUCAGGCUUAGGGGAAUUCUCAACAUCUUACGUGGGGCAGAUGUUAUGGGUCUUGCAUGCUUGAUGGAGUCAAGGAGGGUCGUGAUUGGACAAAGCCACGCCAUAUCUAUAGUGGAUAUUGACGAUGAAGAAACAAUUGGUAGCAAGGGCGACUUCGAAAGCUCCAUAUGA